UGGGGAAUAUUGCACAAUGGGCGCAAGCCUGAUGCAGCCAUGCCGCGUGUAUGAAGAAGGCUUUCGGGUUGUAAAGUACUUUCAGCGGGGAGGAAGGGAGUAAAGUUAAUACCUCUGCCCAUUGACGUUACCCGCAGAAGAAGCACCGGCUAACUCCGUGCCAGCAGCCGCGGUAAUACGGAGGGUGCAAGCGGUAAUCGGAAUUACUGGACGUAAAGCGGACGCAGGCGGUUGGUUAAGUCAGAUGUAAAAUCCCCAAGCUCAACCGAGGAACUGCAUCUGAUACUGGCAAGCUUGAGUCUCGUAGAGGGGGGUAGAAUACCAGGUGUAGCGGUGGAAUGCGUAGAGAUCUGGAGGAAUACCAGUGGCGGAGGCGGCCCCCUGGACGAAGACUGACGCUCAGGUGCGAAAGCGUGGGGAGCAAACAGG
rnacentral:rRNA from 1 species